UACGAAGGGAGCUAGCGUUGUUCGGAAUUACUGGGCGUAAAGGGCGCGUAGGCGGCUUGGCAAGUUGGAUGUGAAAGCCCAGGGCUCAACCCUGGAAUUGCAUUCAAGACUGCCUCGCUUGAAUUCGGUAGAGGUUGGUGGAAUUCCCAGUGUAGAGGUGAAAUUCGUAGAGAUUGGGAAGAACACCCGUGGCGAAGGCGGCCAACUGGACCGACAUUGACGCUGAGGCGCGAAAGCGUGGGGAGCAAACAGG
rnacentral:rRNA from 1 species